rnacentral:lncRNA from 1 species
UCUGAUGCCGAUCUAAGCCCUCAAAUGAUAACAAAAGUUGAGCCUUCAGUGAUCUCACUAUUCGGCCAAGUCCCUAAGAGAGUGGGGUUUUCAGCUUUUGUUGAAGCUGUGUAAAGAAAGAUGAAAUAGGAGGGUUUUGCUAUGGUUUUGUCGACAGAACCUUGAGGUUUAGAGAACUAGAGAAUCGGUCAAGAAUGAUGGAAAAGAUAAUAAAAUUGGCUAGGAGAAAUCGGCACAGAAGAAAGUAUGGGUUUCGGGAUUUCAGCUUUUUAUGGCAAUGGCUAUGAAGGUUUUAGAAACGUUUGAAGCAAAAGAUGAAGAUGGACAGGUGGUUAGAGAGAUUCAGCUAUGGAGGAAAAGAAGAUGAAAAAAAAGAAAAAGUUGAAGAGAAGAGGAGAAAAGAAAGAAAAGGAGAAUGGUCAGCAAACGUCACAACUUUCCCCCUAAUGUCGAAUUUAUACUGGCACUUAACCUAGCCGAAUUUUGCCCCCCAAAAGAAACCGUUGGCCGGCCAACUCUUGCUCCUCAAGAGUCCACUAUUAGGCCAUCACUACUCUCCCAAAUCAGCUCCUAAAUCCUAUCCCUUAUCCCCU